rnacentral:rRNA from 1 species
AUACGGAGGGUGCAAGCGUUACUCGGAAUCACUGGGCGUAAAGCGCGCGCAGGCGGCCAUUUAAGUUGGAUGUGAAAGCCUACGGCUCAACCGUAGAACUGCAUCCAAAACUAUUUGGCUAGAGUGUGGGAGAGGAAGAUGGAAUUAGUUGUGUAGGGGUAAAAUCCGUAGAGAUAACUAGGAAUACCAAAAGCGAAGGCAAUCUUCUGGAACAUUACUGACGCUGAGGCGCGAAAGCGUGGGGAGCAAACAGGAUUAGAAACCCGUGUAGUCC